rnacentral:tRNA from 1 species
CACUGGCUGGCUCAAUCGGUAGAGCAUGAGACUCUUGAUCUCACGGUUGUAAGUUCAAGCCCCAUGCUAGCUG